rnacentral:lncRNA from 10 species
GUAAGUGCUCAGACGCCAUCUUGUUGACCUGAAAUUUUCGAAGGUGAGGGCCUCAGAGACCCUUGAUGAGAGAGUAAUUUUAGAAAGGUUUACAGGCUGUGGCCUGGCGCUGCACCCGGGUUACUCCACUCCGGUUCCCAGUUGCGUCCUUCAGGCCCGGGGACUGCCUGGGUCCCCUUGUCUAGAUCCUUCCUGAACAUUCUGUAGGGAAUAGGGCGGUGCCGGUUUAUUCUACCUAAAGCGUGCGUUUGUAAAUGUCAAUGCGCAGCAGUUCGGUGGGGUUAGAAGGCUGGCUAGGAGGAAGCGAGACAAUGGGUGAAAAUCAAGGUUGAACCCAGGAAUCCGGGGAAAGGAGACACCGUGAGUGAAGGAAAACGGGGAGCCGCUUGGGAGUGGAGCCCCCGGCAGAGCUGGGGGAGUAAGCCCCGUGUAGCAGGGAGCCGCUGCCAGUCGCUGUUGCGAAGCCUGAUGGAGUCUCACUUUGUCACCAAGCUGGAGUGUGGUGGCAUGAUCUUGGCUCACUGCAACCUCCCAGGUUCAAGCUAUUCUCCUGCCUCAGCCUCCCGAGUAGCUGGGACUACAGGCGCACGCCACCACACCCAGCUAAUUUUUGUAUUUUUAGUAGAGACAGGGUUUCACCAUGUUCGCCAGGGUGGUCUCUAUUUCUUGACCUCGUGAUUUGCCCACCUUGGCCUUCCAAAGUGCUGGGAUUACAGGCAUGAGUCACUGUGCCCGGCCUAAUUUUGAUUUUUUAAAACAUUUAAUUAAAAUGUUAUUUAAUUACUGAGUUUUUGGUAUCCCUGUCAUUUUUGUGCCCUGGGAAAGAAAGUACCUCCCCACCUUACCCAGCCCUGGCCCUGCUGGAGAGGCAGUAGGGGUUAGGAAGGCGCUGUGGGACGUGGGAUUAGGUAAGCAUGGCAUUUUUCUGAGUGUUAUAUGAGGUGUUUUGAAGAGAAAGUCUUAAAGGCACCAAGGUGGGUGUACUAGUCUGCUCAAGCUGCCAUCACAAAAUCCCUAAGGCUGGAUGGCCCAAACAAUGAACACUUAUUUUCUCAUAGCUCUGGAGGCUGGAAAUCCAAGGUCAAGGUGCCUGCAGGGUAGGUUUCUGGUGAGGCCUCUCUCCCUGGCUCGCAGAUGUCCACCUUCUCACUGGAUGCUCACAUGAACUCUUUUUUUGUGUUCACUUGGAGAGAGAGUCAUGGUGCCAGUUCUUUUUCUUUUCUGAGACAGAGCCUCACUCUGUCACCUAGGCUGGAGUGCAGUGGUGUGAUCAUGGCUCACUGCAGCCUCAAACUCCUGAGCUCAAGCAAUUCUCCUACCUCAGCCUCCCAAGUAGCCAGGAUCACAGGUGUGUGCCACCAUGGCUGGCUAAUUUUUUUUUUUAUGUUAUAGAAAGAGGGUCUCACUGUGUUGCCCAGGCUUCCUUUGCUUAUAAGAACAUCAGUUCUAUUGCUUUGGGCACCCCCUUAUGACCUCAUUGAACCUUAACUACCUUCCUAAAAGCCUGACCUCUGAAUGCGGUCACAUUGGGAGUUAUGGUUUCAACAUACAAUUAUUUUGUAUUGGAGGCACAAUUCAGUCCAUACCAGUGGGUACCCAGCCCCCAUUCAGAUCAUGUUGCCUGGGGUAGGAGCUCGGUGCUGAGAGACGAACAGGUCAGGUUUGGAUUUGGGCUCUUCUAAUUAGCUGUGUGAUCUUGAGCUAAUCACUUAACUUCUCUGAACCUCAGCUUCUCCACCUCUACAAUCAGUCCAUAUUUCUUAUCUCACAGGGAGAUGGAGGGACUAAUCUGAGAUGCAUAUAAAAACCUUGAAGACAAUUCUCAGUAAACUUUAGGUUUCCUCCCUUUAGCAAACUAAUUGGAAUUCAGGAAGCAGCAACUGGCACUGUAGUUAGAAUGCGGUUCUGUUCAUUGACUUCGGGCAGCUGCAGGGCUCGAGGGUGACAUUACACAGAGUCUGUCUAUGAUUUUUCUAAGUUUCAGUGGCUGCACACCCUUAUCCCACAUAAGAUUAGAUUUUCACGCAGACAUUGGGCAAGAGUCCCAGGCCUCACAGAUAUUCUUGGGUCAACCAGGAACUCUCCAUUGCUGUCGAGUACGAGGGAAAGUGCCGAGUCAUGGAUUUGUUUCCUUCAGAUUUUGUGUGGUUCUUAUCAUGUUCUUCAGGAAACAUUAGCACACCCAGCUAUUAAUAAUGAUGAUGGAAUGAAAUUUCUGACUAAAUCCGGGGUGGAGGUGAGGGUCACCUGCCUGCCUGGCUAACCUAUACUUCUAUCUAUCCAGGAAGGAAGGGAGCUAUCUGGAGGCAGGCUAAGGAGAUAGGAAUGUCCAACAUGCUGGGAAUCCCUCGACUUCACGCAACAGGGUAACCCAAGCCUCCCGAAGGUCAGGCUUGGGCGGGAGGGGUCAGUGUUGUCAUUGGCACAUUUUCCCAACCAAGUCCAAAAUCCCUUAGUAGGCAAAGAGUUGAGAUAGGGAAACAGUACCUGGGGCCGCACUGAGAGUGAGAUGAUGGUCCUCAUCCCCGCGCAGAUGGGAAUCUUUGUUUAGAUUAACAGAGGACUGUACAUACACCCUCAAAACAGAUUAGAUAUUUUCCCUGGGAACUUGCUGUAAUUCUUACUCCCCUUGCCCCUCUUUUCCAUGAAAGCAUGAGGUUACACUGAUGAACGCUCCUCCCUUCCUGCACUCCUUCUUGGGCCCUUGCCGCUGCUAUGUCCCUUCAAUUGCCCUAACAGUGUUGAUGAGCAGAAAUAGUGUCAGAUCAUGAUGUCAGCAAUAAUGUCAGAUUUCUGUUGGGUGCCUAGGACCUUCCAAGAUUUAUGGCUACCAGUAAAUCACAAGAGAGACUUUCCUCCCAGAAGGUGAAGGACAGCUAUGGUCAUGCCUCUCACUGAGUAGUCUCUUUUAGACAAUUGCCGGCAUUACUGGGUGCAGAAGCUCAUUUGUUUCCCCACAACCUGCGUGGAAAACUUCACUCAAGUGCUGGAAUAUAUGCUAUGCUCCCAUUGCCCAUCAAAUCCA